AGACAGUUCGGUCCCUAUCUGUUGCGAGCGUUAGAAAUUUGAAGGGAUCUGACCUUAGUACGAGAGGACCGGGUCGGACGUACCUCUGGUGUAUCUGUUGUGGCGCCAGCUGCACCGCAGAGUAGCUAUGUACGGACAAGAUAAGCGCUGAAAGCAUCUAAGCGCGAAACUCGCCUUGAGAUGAGACUUCUUUUAAGGGUCGUUAGAGACGAUGACGUAGAUAGGUUGCAAGUGUAAAGGCAGUAAUGUCAAAGCUGAGCAAUACUAAUUGCC
rnacentral:rRNA from 12 species